GGGGGGGAAGGGGGCCAACCUGGCGGAGAUGAGCUCGCUUGGGCUGCCCGUGCCGCCGGGGUUCACCAUCACCACCGAGGCCUGCGUCCACUACUACGCCAACGGGCGGUCGUACCCCGCAUCCCUGGAGGCGCAGGUGCGUGAGGGGCUCGAGCGGGUGGAGGAGUUGACCGGUAAGCGCUUCGGCGAUCCGGCGAACCCGCUGCUCGUUUCCGUCAGGUCGGGGGCGCGGGCGUCGAUGCCCGGCAUGAUGGACACCGUUCUGAACCUCGGCCUGAACGACGAGACGGUGGAGGGGCUGGCGCGUCUGUCGGGAGAUAGGCGUUUUGCUUUCGACAGUUAUCGGCGCUUCAUCCAGAUGUACUCCAACGUGGUGCUGGGCCUUGAGCACCACACGUUCGAGGAGAUCCUCGACGACUGGAAGGAGCGGCUGGACGCCUCGGGCGACAC
rnacentral:misc_RNA from 1 species